CCCAAUUUAGCUCAAAACGGGAACGCAUGGCGGCGGGGCUUAACACAUGCAAGUCGAACGAUGAUGCCCCAGCUUGCUGGAUGGAUUAGUGGCGAACGGGUGAGUAACACGUGAGUAACCUGCCCCUGACUCUGGGAUAAGCGUUGGAAACGACGUCUAAUACUGGAUAUGAUCACUGGCCGCAUGGUCUGGUGGUGGAAAGAUUUUUUGGUUGGGGAUGGACUCGCGGCCUAUCAGCUUGUUGGUGAGGUAAUGGCUCACCAAGGCGACGACGGGUAGCCGGCCUGAGAGGGUGACCGGCCACACUGGGACUGAGACACGGCCCAGACUCCUACGGGAGGCAGCAGUGGGGAAUAUUGCACAAUGGGCGAAAGCCUGAUGCAGCAACGCCGCGUGAGGGAUGACGGCCUUCGGGUUGUAAACCUCUUUUAGUAGGGAAGAAGCGAGAGUGACGGUACCUGCAGAAAAAGCACCGGCUAACUACGUGCCAGCAGCCGCGGUAAUACGUAGGGUGCAAGCGUUGUCCGGAAUUAUUGGGCGUAAAGAGCUCGUAGGCGGUUUGUCGCGUCUGCUGUGAAAUCCCGAGGCUCAACCUCGGGCUUGCAGUGGGUACGGGCAGACUAGAGUGCGGUAGGGGAGAUUGGAAUUCCUGGUGUAGCGGUGGAAUGCGCAGAUAUCAGGAGGAACACCGAUGGCGAAGGCAGAUCUCUGGGCCGUAACUGACGCUGAGGAGCGAAAGCAUGGGGAGCGAACAGGAUUAGAUACCCUGGUAGUCCAUGCCGUAAACGUUGGGCGCUAGAUGUAGGGACCUUUCCACGGUUUCUGUGUCGUAGCUAACGCAUUAAGCGCCCCGCCUGGAGGAGGCAACGGCCGCAAGGCUAAAACUCAAGAAAAUUUUGACCGGA
rnacentral:rRNA from 1 species